CUUUCAGUACUUACACUUUACCAUCCAUCUCCUUUCACUGAUCACCUAUUUUGAGAUCCAUAAAUGUUGCUGAAUGCUGUAUCUGUAGUUCUGACACUUGGGCUUCUAAUUUUGACAAACAUUUCAGUUGUUUCCUGUUUGAAGCUGUUAUGACAAAGGCUAAUAAAGCAGAACCUUUUGAUGAACUCUGGAUUUCUGUGAGUGCCUUUGGCAUUUCCUCAGUAGCCAGUUACUAUAACAAUUGCAGAGUCAUAGUGAGCAACCUCAGACUGGCUAAGAAAGUUUUUCUCUUCACACUGUGUUUAAGGAAACAUUGCAUUCCUCCUCCAAUGCAUGCUCUUACUGACAGCCCAACGUCAUCGAUCAGCAAGAAGCUCUUAAUUCCCAGGACCCAUCUGAGCCUUCCUGAGGUGGGAGUCCUUGAACGAACUGAAGCUUUCUCACUAUUUCCUGUCUCUUCCUACUAUCACUAUGCUUUCUUAAAACCAAUCUGACAUUUUUGUUUGUUUGUUUCCUCCAAAUGUGUUUCCAUGUUAGGUAGAAGCUUACCUAAGUUUGUAUCCUAUUCCAGGUUUUAUUAGUGGCUGAUAACAGGUUAAUAUUCUUCCUCUUACUGAGCAAUAGCUAGGGGAAUGUUACCAGAGCUCUCCUGGGUGCAGAGUGAUAAUAGUAGAUGUCAUCAUUAUCAUGGUGGUGGUUUAUGCUUGUUUAGUCACUAAGUCAUGUCAGACCAUUGUGACCCCAUGGACUGUAGCCUGCCAGGCUCCUCUGUCCAUGGGAUUCUCCAGGCAAGAAUACUGGAUUGGGUUGCCAUUUCCUUCUCCAGGAGAUCUUCCUGACCUAGGAAUCAAAUCCAGGUCUCCUGCCUUUCAGGCAGAUUCUUUACCCACUGAGCUAUGAGGGAAGAUCCUCCUUCCUCCUGCUGGAAGUGAAC
rnacentral:lncRNA from 1 species